rnacentral:snoRNA from 1 species
AGACUGUGAUGGUUUUAAAAUAGUGAAUAGAAAAGAUUUCUAAUAUUCUAUUCUGAGGCC